UACGGGGGGAGCAAGCGUUGUUCGGAUUUACUGGGCGUAAAGGGCGCGUAGGCGGCGCAACAAGUCACUUGUGAAAUCUCCGGGCUUAACCCGGAGCGGCCAAGUGAUACUGUCGUGCUAGAGUGCGGAAGGGGCUACUGGAAUUCUCGGUUUAGCGGUGAAAUGCGUAGAUAUCGAGAGGAACACCUGCGGCGAAGGCGGGUUGCUGGGCCGACACUGACGCUGAUGCGCGAAAGCCAGGGGAGCGAACGGG
rnacentral:rRNA from 1 species